rnacentral:rRNA from 1 species
GAUGAACGCUGGCGGCGUGCCUAAUACAUGCAAGUCGAGCGAACAGAUAAGGCGCUUGCUCCUUUGACGUUAGCGGCGGACGUGUGAGUAACACGUGUGUAACCUCCCUAUAAGUCUGGUAAAUCUUCGGGAAACCGGAGCUAAUACCGGAUAACAUCUGGCACCGUAUUGUUCUAAAGUGAAAGAUGGUUUUGCUAUCACUUAUCGAGGGUCCCGCGCCGUUUUAGGUGGUUGGUACGGUCACGGCUUACCAAGGCAACGAUACGUAUCCGACCUGUGAGAGGGGUAGGCCACACUGGAACUGAGACAGCGUCAAGACUCCUAAGGGAGGCAGCAGAAGGGAAUCUGCCGCAAUGGGCGAAAGCCUGACGGAGCAACGCCGCGUGAGUGAUGACGGCGUUCGGCUCGUAAAACUCGGUUAUUAGGGAAGAACAAACGUGGAAGUAACUGUGCACGUCUUGACGGUACCUAAUCAGAAAGCAACGGCUAACUACGUG